rnacentral:rRNA from 1 species
GACGCCGCGUGCGGGAGGAAGCCCUUCGGGGUGUAAACCGCUGUCAGGGGGACGAACCGCUUGCAGUCGAACAGGCUGUAGGUCUGACGGUACCCCCAGAGGAAGCGCCGGCUAACUCCGUGCCAGCAACCUCGGUGACUGAGCGGGCUGGCAAGGCGCAUA